UAAUCGCGAAUCAGAAUGUCGCGGUGAAUACGUUCCCGGGUCUUGUACACACCGCCCGUCACACCAUGGGAGUCGGGAAUGCCCGAAGUCAGUGACCCAACCGGAAGGAGGGAGCUGCCGAAGGCAGGUCUGAUAACUGGGGUGAAGUCGUAACAAGGUAAC
rnacentral:rRNA from 1 species